CCCUAUUAUAAUUUAAUGUAAAUAUAAUUUUGAGUAGUAUAUGUUUUUGACAGGAAACUUAAAGAAUUUGGCGGUGUAUAUUCUAAUUAGAGGAAUAUGUUUUUUAAUUGAUACUCCACAUUAAUCUUACUUAAAUUUAUUUAUUUUGUAUAUCUCCGUCUUAAAAAAAUUUUUUAAAAUAUUUUUUAAUUUUUAUAAUAUAAAAUAAGUCAGGUCAAGGUGCAGAUUAUAUUUAAGUUAAAAUGUAUUACGAUAAAUUUAUUUUUGGUUUAGAAUUAAAAUAAUUUUAUUAAAUUGGAUUUAUAAGUAAAUAUUUUUUUAUUAUAAUUUAUUGAAUAAUGUUAAUAUACAUGCACACAUC
rnacentral:rRNA from 1 species